GGAUGUGAGGGCGAUCUGGCUGCGACAUCUGUCAGCCCAUUGAUCGCCAGGGUUGAUUCGGCUGAUCUGGCUGGCUAGGCAGGUGUCCCCCUCCUCCCUCACCGAUCCAUGUGCGUCCCUCCCGAAGCUGCGCGCUCGGUAGAAGAGGACGACCUUCCCGCCCCCCCCCCCCCCAUGAGAAGACCGGGCUUCGGGCAACAAGGGUAUACGAGUAGCUGCGCUCCCCUGCUAGAACCUCCAAACAAGCUCUCAAGAAACCACUCCCUAUUCUCCCCACUCCCACCCCACCCAGUCCUUGGCAGUCACUGUGUUUUCUAUCUAUGAAUGUGCUUAUUCUGAAAAUUUCAUUUAAGUGGAAUUAUGCAAUAUGU
ensembl:misc_RNA 7SK 7SK RNA